rnacentral:rRNA from 1 species
AGUGAACGCUGGCGGUAGGCCUAACACAUGCAAGUCGAACGGCAGCACAGUAAGAGCUUGCUCUUACGGGUGGCGAGUGGCGGACGGGUGAGGAAUACAUCGGAAUCUACUUUUUCGUGGGGGAUAACGUAGGGAAACUUACGCUAAUACCGCAUACGACCUACGGGUGAAAGCAGGGGAUCUUCGGACCUUGCGCGAUUGAAUGAGCCGAUGUCGGAUUAGCUAGUUGGCGGGGCAAAGGCCCACCAAGGCGACGAUCCGUAGCUGGUCUGAGAGGAUGAUCAGCCACACUGGAACUGAGACACGGUCCAGACUCCUACGGGAGGCAGCAGUGGGGAAUAUUGGACAAUGGGCGCAAGCCUGAUCCAGCCAUACCGCGUGGGUGAAGAAGGCCUUCGGGUUGUAAAGCCCUUUUGUUGGGAAAGAAAAGCAGCAGGUUAAUACCCCGCUGUUCUGACGGUACCCAAAGAAUAAACACCGGCUAACUUCGUG